rnacentral:rRNA from 1 species
AUUGAACGCUGGCGGCAGGCCUAACACAUGCAAGUCGAGCGGAGCGGCGGACGGGUGAGUAAUGCCUAGGAAUCUGCCUGGUAGUGGGGGAUAACGUCCGGAAACGGGCGCUAAUACCGCAUACUAUCAGAUGAGCCUCGGUCGGAUUAGCUAGUUGGUGGGGUAAAGGCCUACCAAGGCGACGAUCCGUAACUGGUCUGAGAGGAUGAUCAGUCACACUGGAACUGAGACACGGUCCAGACUCCUACGGGAGGCAGAAGCUGGGAAUAUUGGACAAGGGGCGAAAGCCUGCUCCAGCCAUGUCGCGUGUGUGAAGAAGGGCUACGAGUUGUAAAGCACUUUAAGUUGGGAGGCGUUACCCACAGAAGAAGAACCGGCUAACUUCGUGCCAGCAGCCGAGGUAAUAC